rnacentral:rRNA from 1 species
GCAAAACGCGAAGAACCUUACCAGGCCUUGACAUGCAGAGAACUUUCCAGAGAUGGAUUGGUGCCUUCGGGAACUCUGACACAGGUGCUGCAUGGCCGUCGUCAGCUCGUGUCGUGAGAUGUUGGGUUAAGUCCCGUAACGAGCGCAACCCUUGUCCUUAGUUACCAGCACGUCAUGGUGGGCACUCUAAGGAGACUGCCGGUGACAAACCGGAGGAAGGUGGGGAUGACGUCAAGUCAUCAUGGCCCUUACGGCCUGGGCUACACACGUGCUACAAUGGUCGGUACAGAGGGUUGCCAAGCCGCGAGGUGGAGCUAAUCUCACAAAACCGAUCGUAGUCCGGAUCGCAGUCUGCAACUCGACUGCGUGAAGUCGGAAUCGCUAGUAAUCGCGAAUCAGAAUGUCGCGGUGAAUACGUUCCCGGGUCUUGUACACACCG